rnacentral:tRNA from 1 species
GGAGGGGUGGCGGAGUCCGGUUGAACGCACCGGUCUUGAAAACCGGCAGGGGCGGCAACGUCCCUCGUGGGUUCGAAUCCCACCCCCUCCGCCA